UACGUAGGGACCAAGCGUUGUUCGGAUUUACUGGGCGUAAAGGGCGCGUAGGCGGCAAUUCAAGUCAUCUGUGAAAUCUCCGGGCUUAACCCGGAACGGUCAGAUGAUACUGCUUUGCUAGAGUGCAGAAGGGGCAAUCGGAAUUCUUGGUGUAGCGGUGAAAUGCGUAGAUAUCAGGAAGAACACCCGUGGCGAAGGCGGCUCUCUGGGACGGUACUGACGCUGAGACGCGAAAGCGUGGGGAGCGAACAGG
rnacentral:rRNA from 1 species